rnacentral:rRNA from 1 species
CCUACGGGAGGCAGCAGUGAGGAAUAUUGCUCAAUGGGAGAGAUCCUGAACCAGCCAAGCCGCGUGAGGGAAGACGGCCCUAUGGGUUGUACACCUCUUUUGUCGGAGAACAAAACCCUGGACGUGUCCCGGACUGCGUGUAUCCGUAGUAAAAGCAUCGGCUAACUCGGUGCCAGCAGCCGCGGUAAUACGGAGGAGGCGAGCGUUAUCCGGAUUUAUUGGGGUUAAAGGGUGCGUCGGGGGUCCGUUAUGUUAGCGGUAAAUUCGCGGGGCUCAACUCCGUCGAGCCGUGGAAACUGGCAGACUAGAGUGGGCGAGAAGUACGCGGAAUGCGCGGUGUAGCGGUGAAAUGCAUAGAGA